rnacentral:rRNA from 1 species
AGCAGCCGCGGUAAUUCCAGCUCCAAUAGCGUAUAUUAAAGUUGUUGCAGUUAAAAAGCUCGUAGUUGAAUUUUGGGUCUGGCCGGGCAGUCCGCCCUCCGGGUGAGCACUGUUCCGACGCCGGGCCUAUCCUUCUGGUGAGUCGGCAUGUCCUUUGUUGGGUGUGUCGGGGAACCAGGACCAUUACCUUGAAAAAUUAGAGUGUUCAAAGCGGGCGUAUGCUCGGAUACAUUAGCAUGGAAUAAUGAAAUAGGACGCGUGGUGCUAUUUUGUUGGUUUCUAGAACCGCCGUAAUGAUUAAUAGGGGUAGUUGGGGGCAUUAGGUAUUCAAUUGUCAGAGGUGAAAUUCUUGGAUUUAUUGAAGACUAACUUCUGCGAAAGCAUUUGCCAAGGAUGUUUUCAUUAAUCAAGAACGAAAGUUAGGGGAUCGAAGACGAUCAGAUACCGUCGUAGUCUUAACCNUAAACUAUGCCGACUAGGAAUCGGGCGAUGUUAUUCUCAUUGACUCGCCCGCGCCUUA